ensembl:snRNA U6 U6 spliceosomal RNA
GUGCUUGCUUCCAUAGCAUGUGUACCAACAUUGGGAUGAUACAGAGAAGAUUACUAGCCCCUGUGCAUGAUUGACACACAAGUUCAUGAAGUGUUCCAUGUUUUA